rnacentral:lncRNA from 1 species
AUGAGUACCGUGUCGGACAAUGGUUCACGGAAAGCCGCUUCGCGUCCCUGUCCUCAGGGCUGUGGAUUCUCUCUUCACGAGAAGGACUUACACAAAGCGUGCCCGGUUUGUCUGGGAAUUCUCCACGCUAGGAGAGCGCGUGUGGACCCGGAGGCGUGCGAGUUCUGUUGCCGACUCCGCCGUCCCACGCUCGAACUGCGCGUGAAACUCCUACAACAUCUCCUAGGAGACGCUUCAGUUUCGCAGCAAGACCCCAUGCUUUCCCGUUCGGCCCCGGCUUCGCCCGGCUCUGACGUGUACAGCCUACUGAUCGAAGUCCCCGCUACUGGCUGGGCAGAUCAGAUGGAGAUGGCGGACAAUUUAACCGGACCAGACCUAGAGGCUUCUCAGUUUCCUCCUCUGGCAGAGGAUGAAGGAGACAUUUUGAACAUUUUCUCCGAUGGUCAGGACUUACUCGAGGACGAGGAGGUCCUCUCGGCGGUGGAGUAUUCAUCUCUGGCCGCUACUUCAGCCUCUGAGCUGCGAGAUGACACUUAUUUUCUCCCGCUCUGCCGGCGUGCAGCGGGUAGGCUAGAAGUGGACUGGCCUGCUCCUCCACUUGCACAAAAGAGGUCCCACUUCUCUGGAUUUUACCUCCCCUCGGAACCAGCGCAGGUAAAGAACUUUCUGCCACUGUACCUGGAUUUUGUGGCUGAGCUCAUGGCAUCCUUGGCCAAGCCUCUAUCCACCCGCACCACGGUCCCAUGUUACGGUCAGUUCUUGUACCUCAACGGCGCUGAAAUGGCGGGAUUAGUUAACCUCCCUCUGAUGGAGCCAUCUCUCACGGCUUACCUGGCUCCGACCUGUAAUAAUGGAAUUAGUGGACAAACUAAUAUACCCUCCAAGCCACACCGCUUCUCAGCUGCACAACUGGAGAAGAUUUACCGCGUGCAGGCCUCCACUGCAUGCGUCCUCAGCUCUUCCACCAUGCUCCAGACCUACCAAGCACUUUGCCUGGCGGACCUUGGAGCAAGGAUCCCACCCGACAGCCCACUGACCCUCCUCAUCAAUGAGAUACGGGUCAUUAUGGACUACAUCCUGUGA